rnacentral:misc_RNA from 1 species
AAUAAAUCAUCUCGCACAGAGAAGAUGGGCAGAUACUGCCUUUGCUGUGAAAGUGUUUUUGAUAAUGCAAAAUCACUGACAGCUUCCCCUUUCUUUAAGUGCUGUGAGAAUCUAGCUUCUCCUUUAAAAUCAACCUCUCCAUCCUCGCCCACUGUAGCAGUAUCCGCAUCAACCUGCUCUGCACUCUUCUCAACACCAAGGAUAUCUCCGAGUUUUGAACCAGCCAGCUCCCAAAAUCUUUGUCGAGACUUGUGCAUGUUUUGUUUUUCACGUAUUUCCCGAACUAGAGCUGAGCCUUUACGUGAAAUUAUGGCCAUAUCUGAAGUUGGGUCCUUUAUUGGCAUUAUCGGCUCAGCUUGCUUGGUGAAAACAAUUCUUCCAUCCAAAAAGGGAGGCUUUGUAUCGUGAACAAGAAGAAUAACCUUCCGUUCAUCCUCAUCAUCAAACUCCGUCUGCACCUCGGUACCUCUAACAGCUCCAGAUCUCAAAAGCUG